rnacentral:rRNA from 1 species
UACGUAGGGUGCAAGCGUUGCUCGGAAUCAUUGGGCGUAAAGCGGGUGUAGGUGGCUUUGUAAGUCAGGAGUGAAAGCCCUGGGCUCAACCCAGGAAGUGCUUUUGAUACUGCAAAGCUUGAGUGUGGGAGAGGAUCGUGGAAUUCCAGGUGUAGUGGUGAAAUACGUAGAUAUCUGGAGGAACACCGGUGGCGAAGGCGGCGAUCUGGCCCAACACUGACACUCAGACCCGAAAGUGCGGGGAUCAAACAGG